rnacentral:rRNA from 1 species
UGUGAUUCAUGACUGGGGUGAAGUCGUAACAAGGUAACCGUAGGGGAACCUGCGGUUGGAUCACCUCCUUACCGAG